CCUACGGGGGGCAGCAGUGGGGAAUAUUGGACAAUGGGGGGAACCCUGAUCCAGCCAUGCCGCGUGUGUGAAGAAGGCCCUCGGGUUGUAAAGCACUUUCAGUGAGGAAGAACGCCUGGUGGUUAAUACCCAUCAGGAAAGACAUCACUCACAGAAGAAGCACCGGCUAACUCCGUGCCAGCAGCCGCGGGUAAUACGGAGGGUGCGAGCGUUAAUCGGAAUUACUGGGCGUAAAGCGCGCGUAGGUGGCUUGAUAAGCCGGUUGUGAAAGCCCCGGGCUCAACCUGGGAACGGCAUCCGGAACUGUGAAGCUAGAGUGCAGGAGAGGAAGGUAGAAUUCCCGGUGUAGCGGUGAAAUGCGUAGAGAUCGGGAGGAAUACCAGUGGCGAAGGCGGCCUUCUGGACUGACACUGACACUGAGGUGCGAAAGCGUGGGUAGCAAACAGGAUUAGAUACCCUAGUAGUC
rnacentral:rRNA from 1 species